GGAACAAAUGGGGGCAGACUGAGCCACGAGCUUGAAGAGCCGGCUCUGCAUGAUUGUAUUAUCCCAAGAGACUCCGGCCCUGUUUCUCCCGCGCACAGAAGGGUUCUGUGCGCACUGAGGUUCAAAUGCAAGAAUAAUUGUGAACACAAAAGUACUAUUCCAAGGCAGAGACCACCGCCAUUCCUUGAACCUCACGGUAACUAUGUGCCAAGAGCUGCAUGAACCCGACCGAACUGAAUAGGAUGUGCAAGGACAUGAUAUAUGAGAAGACUUGAGUUCCAGUCCUGACUAUGGCACUGCCAGACACAGCUUUUAAGUUGUCUUCAGCAUUUACAUACUAUUAACCCAUACUUGGCCUCGUCUGAUCCUCAAAAAACUUGGCUUAUUGAAGAAGGUCCCUCCCUGAGGAAAUCCCCAUCAUGACAAGCACUCAGAGAAGUUGGUUGGUACAGAGUUUCUCUGCUGGUUACCCCAGGUGUGGUGUGGACCCCAGAAGGAUGACAGUUUGAAUCCAAGGGCAGUCCCCUUCCUGGCACAGCAAGCAAAAUAAAGUGAAGCCCCUGGAGGCUCAGGCUCCACAGCAAGACCACAGAGAAGACCAGCCCUCUCCCAUUGCCACAAAGACAAGAGAUAGCUUGAAAGAAGACAGCUAAAAGUGGACAAAGAUGAGCUGGGGGGCCCAUAGGAGAGGAUUCAUACCACCCAGCCCCCUGUGGCACCUUCUUCCAGCGUAAAAUCCCGCGAGACUGG
rnacentral:lncRNA from 1 species